AUGACGGAUUUUAACUUACCUUCUAUUUUCGUGCCUUUAGUAGGCUUAGUAUUUCCGGCAAUUGCAAUGACUUCUAUAUUUCUUUAUGUGCAAAAAAUAAGAUUGUCUAGUACUUUUUAG
rnacentral:rRNA from 1 species